UAUUAUUUAAAAUGUAAAUAUAAAUACUUAAGUAGUAAUAGUUAUGUUCUUGAAACUUAAAAAAUUUGGCGGUAUUUUAGUCUAUCCAGAGGAACCUGUUUUGUAAUCGAUAAUCCGCGAUGGACCUUACUUAAAUUUGUAAUCAGUUUAUAUACCGUCGUUAUCAGAAUAUUUUAUAAGAAUAAUAAUAUUCAAUAAUUUUAAUUAAAAUUUAUAUCAGAUCAAGGUGUAGCUUAUAUUUAAGUAAUAAUGGGUUACAAUAAAUUUAUUUAAACGAAUUAAAUUAUGAAAAAAUUUUUGAAGGUGGAUUUGGUUGUAAAAUUAUAAAGAUUAAUAAUUUGAUUUUAGCUCUAAAAUAUGUACACAUCGCCCGUCGCUCUUAUUAUUAAGGUAAGAUAAGUCGUAACAUAGUAGAUGUACUGGAAAGUGUAUCUAGAAUGA
rnacentral:rRNA from 1 species